rnacentral:ncRNA from 1 species
CUUAUCAAGAGAGACGGAGGGAACAGGCCCUAAGAAGUCCGGCAACCUGCUUGAAUUGUAAGCAAGGUGCCAAGUCCUGCGGUGAAGCCGAAAGAUGAGA